rnacentral:rRNA from 1 species
GGCCAGACUCCUACGGGAGGCAGCAGUGGGGAAUAUUGCACAAUGGGGGAAACCCUGAUGCAGCGACGCCGCGUGAAGGAAGAAGUAUUUCGGUAUGUAAACUUCUAUCAGCAGGGAAGAAAAUGACGGUACCUGACUAAGAAGCCCCGGCUAACUACGUGCCAGCAGCCGCGGUAAUACGUAGGGGGCAAGCGUUAUCCGGAUUUACUGGGUGUAAAGGGAGCGUAGGCGGUUUAGCAAGUCAGAAGUGAAAGCCCGGGGCUCAACCCCGGGACUGCAUUUGGAACUGUAAGGCUAGAGUGUCGGAGAGGCAGGCGGAAUUCCUAGUGUAGCGGUGAAAUGCGUAGAUAUUAGGAGGAACACCAGUGGCGAAGGCGGCCUGCUGGACGAUGACUGACGUUGAGGCUCGAAAGCGUGGGGAGCAAACAGGAUUAGAUACCCCAGUAC